rnacentral:rRNA from 1 species
UACGGAGGGUGCAAGCGUUGUCCGGAUUUAUUGGGUUUAAAGGGUGCGUAGGUGGCGUCGUAAGUCGGGUGUGAAAUCUCGGGGCUUAACUCCGAAACUGCAUUCGAUACUGCGGUGCUUGAGGACUGGAGAGGAGACUGGAAUUUACGGUGUAGCAGUGAAAUGCGUAGAGAUCAUAAGGAAGACCAGUGGCGAAGGCGGGUCUCUGGACAGUUCCUGACGCUGAGGCACGAAGGCCAGGGGAGCAAACGGG